rnacentral:lncRNA from 1 species
CAAGGAUCCUGUUUACUAUAGUAAUGGGCCACACCAAGGAUUCUGGGCACUGUAGUCUGGGGGUGGGGGAGUCACACCAAAAGUUCUGGGUACUGUAAUCCCAUGGGGGCACACUGAGGAUUCAAGACAUUGUAUUCCAUGGGGUGUGUGCGUGUGAAAAGACACCAAGGAUUUUGUGUGCCAUAGUCCUGGGGCGUGUCUCAGGAAUUUGGGUAUAUUAGUUUGUGAGGGAACCUGCCUGAGGAUUCAGGUAUCUUCCUGUUUAACGGGGUACACUGAGGAUUCUGUGUACUGAAAUCUUGUGCAGUUGAGGCAUGCAGAGUUUCUGAGUAAUGUAAACCUGGGAGGGAUAGUCACACGGAGAAUUACGGGUACCAUGAUGAGGGAGGAGUGAGCUAAGGCUUCUGUCUAUGGUAGGGUAUGCAUAAUCUUCUGGGUAAUGUAGUUCUAUGAUUGGGGUGUGCAGAGUCUUCUGGGUACUGUAGUUCUGGGUGUGGGCUGUUAGGCCAAGAAUUCUGGGUACUGUAGUUGGGUGUGCACACCAAGCCUUCCGGGUUGGGUUACCACGUGCAAGAUUCUGUGACCUCUGGCGGGCAAUGCUGUGGAGUCAGCAGCUGUUGUCAGCAACCUUCUCGUGUCAGUUGUCCUGCAGGCGAGGAGCCUCCUACCAGGACCUCGGUCUCCGCCCCAGGGCAGGUCGAGGCGUGAGCACCUGCUGGCCUCACCAACCCCAGGCCUCACCUUCCCACCAAGCCUGCUCUAGGCGUCUGGAGUGUGCGGUGCAGCAGAAGCGAGAAGAAGAAAUUCCAAGGAAAAGAAGAAAUAUAGACAAGCAAAUAUGCUUAUGGUCAUUCAAAACCAGAUGGUUGAGCAUGCUUGACUGCUAUUGACACUGUUUGAUUCCGAACAAAGGCUUGCAAAGUUCACCGGUGGGCCUCAGCUCUUCAGAUCCCAACUGUGAGCCGUCCGUAGGUCGCUCUCCGGCACACUGGCGGGGAAGGCCACCCAGAGGGCUGCGGACAGACACCCCAAACUGCACCCUCCAGAACUGAUCAGCGCCAGUUCCAGCUGCUUGGUUCCCUGAUUCCGGGAGCCCCUCCUUUGCUGAGCCCCCUCUACUCCACUGGGCCUCGGCCGGCCGGAGGGUACCCAGUGUAAAGGCAGAGGGCUCUGCUUCCAGUUCCAGCCCCACCUGGGAGCCUCCAGAAUUUUCCCUGGGGCGAGAAGCUGGGCUGUUGGAACAGGUGGGUAGCUCAGGGGAGAGGCGAGCAGCAGAGGAGGAGGCCCGCAAGUGGGUGACUCCAGGGCCUCGCGCCCUCGGGGUCUGGGAGCUGCUCGGGGCGCCCACCCGCUUCGGUGCAGGUCCAAGGGCGCCAGGAGUGCUCUUCCAGGAGCCUCCUUCACCCCCCCACCUUCCGCACCCUCAAGCUGGAACAACCUACUUGGGCUGGGGCAGCCCCUGGCCCCGGGGAUUCUUCCCCGGAGCAGCCAAGCCCGGCCCCUUCGUCCUGAGCCCCACCCUUCCCCUGCCGCUGC